AAAAAGAGUUUGAUCCUAGCUCAGGGUGAACGCUAGCGGUGCGCCUAACACAUGCAAGUCGAGCGGUAAUAGAGAGAAGCUUGCUUUUCUCUAUGAGAGCGGCGAACGGGUGAGUAACACGUUGGUAUCUGCCCCCAAGUCAGGGAUAGCCAUUGGAAACGAUGAUUAAUACCGGAUAGUCUCUUCGGAGUAAAAAUUUAUUGCUUGGGGAGGAACCUGCGUUCUAUCAGCUUGUUGGUGAGGUAAAAGCUCACCAAGGCUAUGACGGAUACCUGGUCUGAGAGGAUGAUCAGGCACAAUGGAACUGAGACACGGUCCAUACUCCUACGGGAGGCAGCAGUGAGGAAUCUUCCACAAUGGACGAAAGUCUGAUGGAGCGACACCGCGUGAAGGAUGAAUGUCUAACGAUUGUAAACUUCUUUUCUGGGGGAGCAUAAUGAGAGUACCCCAGGAAUAAGGGACGGCUAAUUACGUGCCAGCAGCCGCGGUAAUACGUAAGUCCCAAGCGUUACCCGGAAUCAUUGGGUGUAAAGGGUUCGUAGGUGGUUAAAUAAGUUGGAUAUGAAAGACCGGAGCUCAACUUCGUGUUUGUGUUCAAAACUGUUCAACUAGAAUUAGGGAGAGGUAAGCGGAAUUCUGAGUGUAGGGGUGCAAUCCGUAGAUACUCAGAGGAACACCAAAAGCGAAGGCAGCUUACUGGAACUAUAUUGACGCUGAGGAACGAAAGCGUGGGUAGCGAAAAGGAUUAGAUACCCUUGUAGUCCACGCCCUAAACGAUGAUAACUAAGUGUUGCGACUCGCUCGCAGUGCUGUAGCUAACGCGUUAAGUUAUCCACCUGAGGAGUACGGUCGCAAGAUUAAAACUCAAAGGAAUAGACGGGGACCCACACAAGCAGUGGAUCACGUGGUUUAAUUCGACAAUAAACGGGGAACCUUACCCAGGCUUGACAUCCUAGGAAUCUUUCAGAGAUGAGAGAGUGCUUUUAUUAGAACCUAGUGACAGGUGCUGCAUGGUUGUCGUCAGCUCGUGCCUUGAGGUGUUCGGUUAAGUCCGUUAACGAGCGCAACCCAUGUCGUUAGUUAUUAUGUCUAACGAGACUGCCUUGGUUAACAAGGAGGAAGGUGUGGAUGACGUCAAAUCAGCAUGGCUUUUACGCCUGGGGCUACACACAUGAUACAAUGGUGUAUACAAAGAGCAGCAAUACGGCAACGUGGAGCUAAUCUUCAAAAUACAUCUCAGUCCGGAUUGAGGUCUGCAACUCGACCUCAUGAAGUUGGAAUUGCUAGUAAUCGUGAAUCAGAUAUGUCACGGUGAAUAUGUUCCUGGGUCUUGUACUCACCGCCCGUCAUGGCAUGGGAGGAAGUAAUAUUGGAAGCCCCUCUAGUAAUAUGAGGGUCCAUAGUAGGACUUCUGACUGGGCUAAAGUCGUAACAAGGUAUCCGUAGGAGAACCUGCGGAUGGACUAUCUCCUU
rnacentral:rRNA from 1 species